UCGGGUGAAGGAAUCUGAAUUUGGAAGUAUAAUAGAACCAACGAGGUCGAGUGUAAUCGAAGAAUUGUUGAAAAUUCUUUUCAUUUCUCGAAAAAUAUCCUUUUUUCUUUUAUUGCAUUUUCAGAAUCUAUAGAUUCCACUUUACAUGUCGAUAAAUUACCAAUUACCAACCUUGUGUUUCAAUAAUUGGAUAGGAAAGAACAGAAGAGGAACUUUUUUUCAUUUGAUUGCUUGUUAAAUAUGAGAAAAUAUUUUUCAAGAAAUAUCAUUGCAAAUCGUUUGUAAAAUGUGGGUAAAAAAAAAAGAAAUAGAUUUAAAAUUUAAAAUUCAGUCAUAUAAAUUGCAUGUAAAUGUAAUAAAACUUGGAGCCUUUCUGGUAAUCUGAUUUGAAAUAAUUGUUCUACUAUUUAUCAUUGAAACAUAAACUGUAGACAUCCAAAUAAUGCGAACAAAAAUAAUAGAUAUAUAGUCUCGUAAGCAACAGCUUUAACUGAAACAUGAGCUAUAUCUUUUCAUUACAUUCUGUAAAGAAAGUCGAUAGUAUUAUACAAUAAAAUUCACAUUGGAGGUCGAUCAUGAAACAGAUACAGAGGAUUCUCCGACCUUCUAGGACCUGGCAAAUCCUAGAUCCUCAGAUAGAAGGAAUAAGGAUCUGUAGACUAUAAACAACACUCGAAAGUACAGACGAGCCCAAAGAUAUGCAGGUUUCCUUGCUCACACCAGUAACCAUACAAUCACACUACCUCUCCUGAGAAGCAUCCACAAAUCUUUUUAUGCAGGUUAAAGAGUCACCAAACCCCAGGCGAGGUUAUUAAAUCACAAUUAAAUCAACUACAGUCGAACGAACUGCAGCGCUUUUUGUAUAAAUACCGUAUUGUACAAGUGUAUGAUUGUAUAUUCUUUACAAUCCGGCAUUUCCUUAUAAUCAAAAUUACCCACUACACACCAGCGAAUAGCAAUAAUGGAACACUAUCGAUACUAUUCAUCAAGACGGUGCUCUCUGCUCGAUUCAUAUGCGGCUCGUCAAUGUAGUGUAAAGAUACUACAUUGUAGUAUAAAAAUACUACAAAUGGGCCUUAUCGUGGAAGCGUCUGACGAUCGUUGACAAUCGAAAAUCCAGUUGAUAUAAUAAUGAUAUACUGACAGGAGCUGUAGCAUCAUGGCUGUAGUCGCAUUUGCGAGGCUACCUACACGAGCAGGCCCCGAGGGACCGACCGGUCUGGCCAUAUUAGUCCACAGAGGCCACUAGCAGGCUGACGUCACCAAGGGUCACUCGCUGCGUUGACAUAACGUCCUAGACGUUUCUCAUCUAUGGUACAUCCCGUGACACGAGCCAACUCAUCGUUUUCCAUAGAUCCGCUCGAUUUCAGCCGACCGUAAAGACAGCAGCCGCGCUUAAAUGGUUAAGCGGCGUGAAACGUGACUCAAAUCACUCCAACACCGUGGGACCUUGUUAACUAUGGGCUGACCUCAUUUUCAAUUGGAAAAGCAGGUUAACCGUGGAAUUCCCUUGGCCGGUCCAAACUGGAAACAGCAAAACGACAAUAAAUGUUAAAACAUUUCUA